UGCGCCUGCGCCGGCGCUGUGAGCCCUUGCGAGGGCGGAGCUGCGUUCUUCCCAGCACAGACAUCGCCAGGAGAGCAUCGCCAGGUCGGAGCUGAGUUCUCUGCACAGACUUCGGAGAUACAGCGAAGGCGGAGCAGUGUUCUCCUCAGCACAGACCCAGGCGGGCCGGGGGCACCGCGAGGGCGGAGCUGCGUUCUGCUCAGCACAGACCCGGGGGACACCGCGAAGGCAGAGUAGCGUUCUCCUCAGCACAGACCUUCGGGGCACUGCCUCGCUUUGGGACAACUCGGGGCCGCAUAGACGGCGAAUAAAAUCCUUCCCGUUUGCAGCCCUGAAUAAUCAGGGUCAGAGACCAGUUAGAAGGGUUCAGUGUGGAAAACGGGAAACCAAAAGCCCCUCUGAAUCUUGCCUACCGAGGUUCUCCCCAGCCAAGGCGAGGCGGCCGCAGUGCGAGAUCCACACCGCAGCCUCGGAAGACAAAUGCAGCAUUCCUAAUGCAGACAUGACACCCAAAAUAUGACACCCCCAUUGCUCAUGUAACAAGCACCUGUAAUGCUAAUGCACUGCCUCAAUACAAAAAUAUUAAUAUAAGAUCCGCAAUCCCCUUGCUGCCAUGCAGUCCUAAGAUCAUAAUAAUCAACAUUGACAUAGUCAAUACAAACGUAGUAACGAACCUAGGGUUAAGGUUGGUGUUAGGGUUAGGGGUUAGGGGUUAAGUUUAGGGUUAGGGGUUGGAGAUAGGGGUUGGGGUCAGAGUUAGGAGUUAAGAGUCAACGUUUAGAGUUAGGGGUUAAGAGAGGGUAGGGGUUAGGGAUAAGGGGUUAGGGUUGGAUUAGUGUGAGGGUGAGGGUUGUGGUUAAGGGUUAGGCUUAGGGGUUACGGUUAAGGGUUAAGGGUUAGGGUCAGGGGUUAGGGGUCAGGGGUUGGGGUCUGGGGUCAGGGUCAGGUUCAGGAGUCCUACUCUGUGAGUUGUCUAUUUACUCUGCUGACUGUUCCCUUUGCCAUGCAAAAGCUGUUUAGUUUAAUUAAGUCCCAGCUAUUUAUCUUUGUUUUUAUUGCAUUUGCAUUUGGGUUCUUGGUCAUGAAAUCCUUGCAUAUGUCAAUGUCUAGAAGGGUUUAUCCAGUGUUAUCUUCUAGAAUUUUUAUACUUCAGGAAUUAGAUUUAAGUUCUUAAUCCAUCUUGAGUAGAUUUUUGUAUAAGAUGAGAGAUGAGAAUCCAGUUUUAUUCCCCUACAUGUGGCUGACCAAUUAUCCCAACAUCAUGUAUUGAAAAGGGGGUCCUUUCCCCACUUUAUGUUUCUGUUUACUUUGUCAAAGAUCAGUUGGCUGUAAGUAUUUGGGUUAAUUUCUGGGUUCUCUCUUCUGUUCCAUUGGUCUAUGUUCCUAUUUUUAAACCAGUACGUUGGUGUUUUGUUAACUAUGGCCUUAUUGUACAGUUUGAAAUAAAGUAGUGUGAUACCUCCAAGUUCUUUUUGCUUAGGCUUGGUUUGGCUAUAUGGCUCUCUUUUGGUUCCAUAUUAAUUUUAGAAUUGUUUUUGUAAUUCUGUGAAGAAUGAUGGUGGCAUUCAGAUGGAGAUUGCAUUGAAUUUGUAGAUUGCCUUUAACAGAAUGGUAAUUUUCACAAUAUUGGUUCUACCCAUCCAUGAGCAUGGGGAUGCGUUUCCAUUUGUUUGUGUCAUCUAUGACUUCUUUUCUUCCUUUUUUUUUUUUUUUCCCAGAGGGAGUUUCGCUCUUGUCGCUGAGGUGGGAGUGCAAUGGUGUGAUCUCGGCUCACUACAACUUCUGCCUCCCGGGUUCAAGCGAUUCUCCUGCCUCAGCUUCCCGAGUAGCUUGGAUUAUAGGCAUGUGCCACCGUGCUUGGCUCCAUCUAUGAUUUCUUUCAGCAGUGUUUUGUAAUUUUCAUUGUAUAGGUCUUUUGAUUCCUUUGCUAGGUAUAUUCCUAAGUUUUGUUUUUUGUUGUUGCUUUUCGCAGCUAUUGUAAAAGGGGUUGAGUUCUUGAUGUGAUUCUCUGCUUGGUAGCUGUUGAUGUAUAGAAGAGCUACUGAUUUGUGUCCAUUAAUCUUGUAUCUGGAAACUUUGCUGAAUUCUUUUAUCAGUUCUAGGAGCUUUCUAGAGGAGUCCAUAGGGUUUUCUAGGCAAAAGAUCAUAUCAUCAGCAACAAGUGACAGUUUGACUUCCUCUUUACCGAUUUGGAUUUCCUCUAUUUCCUUCUUUUGUCUGAUUGCUCUGGCUAGGACUUCCAGUACUAUGUUGAAGAGGAGUGGUGAGAGUAGGCUCCUCAUCUUGUUCCAGUUCUCAAAGGGAAUGCUUUCACCAUUUCCCCAUUCAGUAUUAUGUUGGCUGUGGGUUUGUCAUAGAUGGCUUUUAUUACAUUAAGGUAUGUCACUUGUAUGCCUAUUUUGCUGAGAGCUUUAAUCAUAAAGCAAUGCUAGAUUUUGUCAAAUGUUUUUUCUGCACCUGUUGAUAUAAUCAUAUUAGAUUUUUUAAAUUCUGUUUAUUUGGUGUAUCACAUUUAUUGACUUGCAUAUGUGAAACCACUCCUAUAUCAUUGGUAUGAAACCCACUUGAUCAUGGUGGAUUAUUUUUUGAUAUGUUGUCGGAUUCAGUUAGAUAGUAUUUUGUUAAGGAUUUUGGCAUCUGCGUUCAUCAAGGAUAUUGGUCUGUAGUUUUCUUUUUUGGUUAUGUCCUUUCAUGGUUUUGGUAUUCGGGUGAGGCUGGCUUCAUAGAAUGAAUAACGGAGGGUUUCUUCUUUCUCUGUCUUGUGGAAUAGUAUGAAAAGAUUGGUAUCAUUUCUUCUUUGAAUGAAAGAAGACAUUCUUUGAAUGUCUGGUAGAAUUCUGCUGUGAAUCUGUCUGGCCCUCGGCUUUUUUUGCUGGUAAUUUUAAAAUUACCAUUUCAAUCUUGCUGCUUGCUUUAUUGGUCUGCUUGGGGUAUCUAAUUCUUCCUGAUUUAAGCUAGGAGAGUUGUAUUUUUCCAGGAAUUUAUCCAACUCUUCUAGGUUUUGUAAUUUAUGUGCCAAAAGGUGUUCAUAGUAUUCUUGAAUAAUCUUUAAUAUUUUAGUGGUGUCAGUUGUAAUAUCCCCUGUUUUAUUUCUUAGUGAGGUUAUUUGGAUUUUCUCUCUUCUUUUCUUGGUUAAUCUUGCUAAUGGUCUAUCAAUUUUAUUUAUCUUUUCAAAUAACCAACUUUUUGUUUUAUUUAUGUUUUGUAUUUUUUGUUGUUGUUGUUGUGUCAAUUUCAUUUAGUUCUGCUCUGAUCUUGGUUAUUUCCUGUGUUUGCUGGGAUUGGGUUUGGCUUGUUCCUGCUUCUCUAGUUCCCUGACAUGUGAACUUAGAUUGUCUGUUUGUGCUCCUUCAGACUUUUUGAUGUAGGUUUUUAGGACUACAAACUUUGCUCUUAGCAGUGCCUUUGCUGUAUCCCAGAGGUCUUGAUAGGUUGUGUCAUCCAGUUCGAAGAAAUUUUUUACAUUUCCAUCUUGAUUUCAUUUUUCACCCAAUGCUCAUUCUGUGAGGAACAAUCAAAUUGUUUUCCUCAGCAAGGGCAUCAUUUUCUAUUCCUAGCAGCCAGUUCAGGAGGGCUCCAACUUCUCCACGUCCUUAGCAACAUUUGUUUUCUGUGUCAUUGUUAUGAAAGCCUUACUUGUGGGUGCAGAGUGGCAUGAAUGAAGUGAAUUAACAUGUUUAUUACCUCACAGAACAGUUACCUUUUUGUGUGUAUGCGUGGGAUAAGAAAACUUAACUCUAUCCCCUGUGACUGAAUAGUGGCCAUUCCAGCUGCUCCAGGCUCCAGCAGCGGAAGACCAAGGGAUCAUGGCACAAGUUGCAGUUUCCACCCUGCCCAUUGAAGAUGAGGAGUCCAUGGAAGAUGAGGAGUCCAUUGAAGAUGAGGAGUCAUUGAAGAUGAUUCUGCGGAGAGCAGGAUGGUGGUGACAUUGCUCAUAUCAGCUCUCGAGUCCACGGAUCAUGGCACAAGUUGCAGUUUCCACCCUGCCCAUUGAAGAUGAGGAGUCUGUUGAAGAUGAUGAGUCCUUGGAGAGCAGGAUGGUGGUGACAUUCCUGCCAGCUCUUGAGUCCACGAUUCUCUGUUUCACCGAAUCUGGAGUGCAAUGAUGGAGUUUUAGCUAACUGCAGCGUCAACCACCUGGGCUCAAGCAAUUCCCCCACCUCUGCCUUCCAAGCAUCUGGGACUACAGGUGCACACCAUCCAUGCCCAGCUAAUUUUUGUGUUUUUUUUUUUUUUUGUAGAGAUGGGAUCUUGUUAUAUUGCUGAGGCUGGUCUUGAACUCUGGGGCUAAAGCGAUUCUUUCACCACAACCUCUGAAGUAGCUGAAACUACAGAUGCAUACCACCAUGCCCAGCUAAUUUUUUCUUAUUUCUUUUUGUUGUUUAAUUGAGGGGGUCUCACUGUGUUUCCCAGGCUGGUCCCGAACUUUUGGCCUCAAGCGUUUCUCCUGCUUUGACCUCCUAAAUUGUUGGGAUUGUGGUUGUGAGCCACGGCCUCUGUGUCCAGCAAUCACAAGAGGUCUUUAUAAGUGAAAGAGGGAGAUAAGAGAGUCAGAAUUGAAGGAGAUUUGAUGAUGGAAGCACAGGUCACAGAGGGAGAUUCGAAUAUGCUUUGCUUCUGGCUUUGAAGAUGCAGUUAGGGGCCAUGAGCCAAAGAAUAGGGGUGGCUUUAGCAACUGGGAAAGGCAAGGGAACACAUUCUCUCCGGAACCUCCAGAAGGGAUGCAGUCCUGCUGACACCUUGACUUUAGCCUUAAUAAACCUAUUUUGGACUUCUGGCCCCCAGACCUGUUAGGUAGUAGAUUUGUGGUGUAUUAAGCCACUCAAUGUAAGGUAGUUUGUAACAGCAGCAAGAAGAAAUGAACAUGAAGCCAGGGGUGGUGGCCCACACCUAUAAUUCCAGCUAUUUAGGAGGCUGAAGCAGGAUGGUUGCUUUGGCCCAGGGGUUCAAGAUAAGCCUGGGCAACAAAGUGAUACCCCGUCUACAUGGAAAAAAAAUUAGUGGGUAUGGUGGCAUGCACUUGUAGUCUUAGCUACUAGAGGCCCUGAGGCAGGACGAUUUCUUGACCUAGGAGACCUAGGUCUCAGUGCGUUAUGAUCGUGCCAUGGCACCCCAGUCUGAGUGACACAGCGAGAUUUUUAUCUUAAAAAAAAGAAAAAAGAAAUGAGUGAGCAUCGCAGGAAUAGGAACAGAUAGCAAUAUUAAAUAGAGUGGUCAGGGUUGGCCUCCUAAGUGAAAACUGAAAAAAGACUUGAAGGAGGGGAAGGAGCUGGCCAAGGUACUGAGGGAAGAGCAUUGUAGGCAGAAACAACAGAAUAAAGAUGCUAAGAGGGAACUCCGUGGUGUGUCUGAAGCUCAGGAAAGAGGCCUGUGGAGCAGAGAGAGGGAGAGAAGUAGGGAAGAAGGCCAGGGAGUUGUUGGGCUCAGAUCAGUACAGAUUGUGUAAGCCCUGGGAGGCUAUUGCUGGGGCUUUGGCUUUUAUUCUGUCUGAGAUGGGAGAUGUGGAAGGGUUCUGAGCAGAGAGGUGACACAAAUUGUCUACUGAUUUAAAAGCAUCCCAUGGUGGCUGAGUUGAGAAAGAUUGUGGGAAGAUUUGGGUAGAAGCAGGGAGGCCAAGCUGUGGCAACCUCCAGGUGGGAGAUGAUAGUGGUUCUGACCAGGGUCCUGGCAAUGGUGAGAGAUGGUUGAUUCUUGUUGAAAUAGUAAGUAAUUAAAAAAAAAACUCUAUGGCUUUUCCCAAUUAUAGGAAGUAUGGGAUGCUAGAUUAAAGAAAUCUUAAGUCAGGCCAGGUGCAGUGGCUUAUGCAUGUAGCAUCAGCACUUUGGGAGGCAGAGAUGGGAGAAUUAUUUGAGUUGAGGAGUUUGAGACCACCCUAUGCAGCAGAGCAAGACAUCCUCUCUAUGCAAAUAAAAAUUAAUAAAAUAUAAUUAUCCAAGCAUAGUGGUAUUUUCCUGUACAACCAGUUACUCAGGUUGUUGAGGUGGGCAGAUCUCUUGAGGGUGGGAGUUUGAGGCCAGCUUGGGCAACAUAGCAAGGCUCCUCUUUCUACAAAAAAAUAAAUAAAUAAAUAAAAAUUAGCUGGGUGUUUUGGUGGUCAUCUGUAGUCGUAGCUAUGGUGAGGCUGAGGCAGGAGGAUCCCCAGAGCCCAGGAGGUCAAGGCUGCAGUUAGCUAUGAGUGCACCACUGCAUUGCAGCCAGAGUGACAGAGUGAGACCCUGUCUCAGAAUACAGAUACAAGUAAAGAAAUCUCAACUCAGAGCAGUCUGUUUGUGACUAUGCAGCCUUUGCAACCCCAUAGCUGCGCGAUUGGGUUUGUGUUGCUGGAGGUGAGGAGACCCAUGCCCAGGUGUUGUUGCCUGUCUAAUCAGUUUAUUUUAAAAUAUAUUAAUGAAAUUUAUUUCAUCAUACUUUAUGGCCUCAUACCUGAGUGGUUUUUUGAAUUCUCCUUUGAAUAGCUUGUAACUAUUCAAACCUCUUAUUGGUUCUAUAAUUAAUUCUUUUUCUAAUUAGCUUUUUAAAAAUCAGAAUUGAUAUUAGACUACCUAAUCAGUUAUUAAUGAGGAGAUGAAAUUGAGUUGUUUGUACACUUUAUCUAAGAUAGUGCCAUAUUGGCUAACUCAAAUCAAUAGUUGAGCAAAUGCAGAAUUAGAGCUUUUUCAGCAUGGAACUCUCUUGCGGUUGUUGAAGAUGCCAUUUCUUUUUUUUUUUUUGAGAUGGCAUCUUCCUCUGUCACCAGGCUGGAGUGCAGUGGCACAAUCUCAAUUCACAGCAACUUCUGCCUCCUGGGUUCAAGCAUUUCUCUUGCCUCAGCCUCUGAAGUAGCUGGGACUACAGGCACAUGCCACCAUGCCCGGCUAAGUUUUGUAUUUUUGGUAGAUACGGGGUUUCAGCACGUUGGCCAGGCUGGUCUUGAACUCCUGACCUUGCAAUCCACUGGCCUUGGACUCCUGAAGUGCUGGGAUUACAGGCAUGAGCCACCGCACCCGGCCUCUUUUUUCAGUCUUUAAUAAACUGCUGCCAUCAUUUCAGACCACUUGCUAUUUUAGGCACUUAGAAAAUUUUCACUGGAAUUCAUGUAAAGAAAGACCAUGGGCGUUUGUACUGGAUUUAGUAUUCAUCAUUCGACUGCAUGACUCACCCCUAGUGCCAUAAUUUUACUAAUAAAUUUUUCAGAUACUAGUCAACUGGCCACUGAACCUAACCAGCAACCCACCCUCGACCAUUCAGUGGUCUUUUGUUCUCUGUUCCUCCUGAACGUUGAUUACUCUCAGAAGGUGAUAAAAACUUGGAUUUCUUUUUUUUUUCUUCCUAGAAACCGGGUCUUGUUCUGUCACCCAGGCUGCAGUGCGGUGGCAUGAUCAUGGUUCACUGCAGCCUGAAACCCCGGACUCAAACUGUCCUCCCACCUCAGCCUCCCAAGUAGCUGGGACUACAUACAUUUGCCCCUAUUCCCAGCUAACUUCUUUAUUUUUUAUUGUACAGAUGGGAUCUUGCUGUGUUGCCCAGGAUGGUGUCAGACUCCUGGCCUCAAGUGAUCAUUCUGCCUCAGCUUCCCAAAGUGCUUGGAUUAUACGUAGGGGGGAGCCACCUGUGUUCAAUGCCCAUUUUCUUUUUCUUUCUUUUUGAGACGGACUCUCACUCUGUCACGCAGGCUGGAGUGCAGUGGCAUGAUCUUGGCUGACUGCAACCUCCACCUCCCUGGUUCAAACAAUUCCCCUGCCUCAGCCUCCCAACUAGCUGGCAUUACAGGCACAUGUCACCACUGUCAGCUAAUAUUUUUGUACUUUUAGUAGAGACAGGGUUUCAGUAUGUUGGCCAGACUGGCCUCGAACUCCUGAAAUCAGGCAAUCCACCCACCUUGGCCUCCCAAUGUGCUGAGAUUACAGGCAUGAGUCACCACGCCACACCCAGCCCUUUUUAAAAUAAUAAUAUUAUUGAAAUAUGAUUAACAUAUCAUGCAAUUCAUUUAUCAAAGUAUGCAAUUCUGGCCGGGUGCAGUGGCUAAGUCCUAUAAUGCUAAGAUUUUGGGUGGCUGAGGCAGGUGGAUUGCUUGAGUUUGGGAGUUUGUGACUAGCCUGGGCAACAUGACAAAACAGCAUCUCUAGCAAAAAUACAAAAAUUAGCUGGGUGUGGUGGCUUAUGCCUGUAGUCCCAAUUUCUUAGGGACAUGAGACUGGAAGAUCACUUGAGCCUAGAAGGCAUAGGUUGCAGUGAGGCCAGAUGGCACCACUGCACUACAGCAUGGGUGACAGAAGGAGACCCUGUCUGUAAAUAACUAAAGAAAAAAAGAAAGUAUACAGUUGAGUGGUUUUUAGAAUAUUCAAGGAGCUGUGCAUCCAUCACCACAGUCUCUCUUAGAAGUGAUUACCCACUUAUGAGUUACCCACUUGUGAGUGAGAAACCCUCACCUCUUAGCCACUACCUCCUAAUUCCCCCAUGUUCAUAGGCAACCACUGAUUUAUUUUCUGUCCUUGUAGUUUUGCCUAAUCUGGACCUUUUAUAGAAAUAGAAUUGUACAAUGUGUGAUCUUUUGUAGUUUGCUUUUUUUUCUCUUAGCACAAUGUUUUAAAAUUUCUUUCAUGUUAUAGUGUGUAUCAGGAUUUCUUUCCUUUUAUAGCUGAGUAAUAGUUUAUGUUUAUCCAUUCAUUAGUUGAUGGACAUUUGUGUUGUUUUUGUGUAUUCACCAUCAUGAGUCAGGCUGCUAUGAACACUCGUAUGUAAGUUUUAGUUUGAACAUAUAUUUUUAUUUCUCUUGGAUUUACACUCAGGAGUGAAAUUGUUGCAUUAUGUGAUUACUAUACAUUUAGUCUUUGAGAAACUGCCACGUUGAUUUUCAAAGUGGUUACACUGGUCAGGCGCAGUGGCUCACACCUUUAAUCUCAGGUAUUUGAGAUGCUGAGUUUGGAGGAUUUUCUUAGCCCGGGAAUUCAGGACAAGCCUGGGCAAUAUAAGGAAACAAUAUCUUGAUUUUUAAAAAAAGUCAAAUGCCAAUAAAACACCCAAAUUGAUUACACCAUUUUAUAUUCCCACCAGUAAUGUAUGUGAGUUCCAAUUAUUCCACAUUGUCACCAACUUUUUUUUUUUUUGAGACAAAAUCUUGCUCUGUUGCCCAGGCUGAAGUGCAGUGGCAUGAACAUGGCCAGUGCAGCUGUGACCUUCCAGGCACAAGUGACCCUCUCACCUCAGCCUCCUAAGUAGCUGGGACUUACAGGUGCAUGCUAUCAUGUGCAGCUGAUUUUUACAGUUUUUGGUAGAAAUGUGGUGUUGUCAUGUAGCCCAGGUUUGUGUCAAACUCCUGAGCUCAAGUGAUCUGCCUGCUUCACCUUCCAGAAGUGCUGAGAUUACAGGUGUGUGCCACCAUGCCCGACUGGUAUAACCAUUUGGAAAGCAGCCACUGAGCCUGGCCUUCACCAGUAUACCAAUAUUUGUUAAUAUCGUUUUAUUUUUUACAAUUUUUCCAUUUUUAAAAACUUAUUCUUUUACCUGUAUUAUUGAUUAUAAUAAACAACAAAUAAUUUUGUAGUAGAGUCCCCCCAAAAAGUAUUUAUUGUUUAACUGAAGUAGUUUUUUUUUUUAACCUGGAUAUAUAUUUUUUCAUUUUCACUUUAUUUUUAGUGUUUAUUUUUAAAAAUUAUUUAUAUAUAUUUUUAUUUUAAUAGGUGUUUGAGAAACAGGUGGUGUUUGGUUCCAUGAAUAAGUUCUCCAGUGUUGAUUUCUGAAAUGUAGUACCCCUCAUUACUCAUUAAAUUAUAUAUUAAGUCAUUAUAAAAUCAUUAAUAAACCAAAGACUUUAAUAAAAUGGGAAUUUUAUUUUAACUUGCAACCUGGGACGUAAAUGUCAAAAAAAUUAGAGAAAUUACCACAUUAAGGUUUUAAAAUCUUGAACUGAAAAAUGAAAGCCUUGGUGCACCUAAGAACCACCAACCCACUGGUCAAGGUGAACAAAACUAAAUGAAAAAAUAAAACCAAGAAAACCAAACUCAGGAUUAUUAGGUAUUCGGUAAUGCUAUUUUAUCUUGGGACUCACAGAAAAUAGUCAUUAUUAUUAUUAUUAUUAUUAUUUUGAUACGGAGUCUCACUCUGUCACCCAGGCUGGAGUGCAGUGGUGCAAUCUCGGCUCACUGCAAUCUCUGCCUCCUGGGUUCAAGUGAUUCUCCUGCCUCAGCCUUCAGAGUAGUUGGCAUUACAGGCAGGUUCCACCAUGCCUGGCUAACUUGUAUUUUUGGUAGAGACAGGGUUUCACCAUCUUGGCCAGGCUGUUCUGAAACUCCUGAUCUCAAACAAUCUGCCUACCUCGGCCUCCCAAAGUGCUGGAAUUACAGGCAUGAGCCACUGUGCUCAGCUGAAAAUAGUUAAUUUUAUGUAUAUUCCAAGUCAGAAUACAUUCUAUUUUUGAAUAUUUGAUGACUUUAGGAUACUAUAUUAACUCUUAAUUGAAUUAAUACAAGUUUAGGUGUAAAGAUGAUGUUUAUGUUGACAAAAAAUUAUUAAUGUUUUACAUAUAUGAAAUUAAUAUAUCAUAUUUUUUGUAUUUGUAGAAUACCUUGAAAUCUAUUAUUAGCUAAUAUUUUAUAUUCAUUUUGGGUUUUCACAUUAUUGUUAGAUCCAGAGAAAAGUAAUAUUUUGUGAAUACUCAAAUCAUAAACAUUUUGCUGGAUGCAUUCAUAGAUAUUUUAUUUAAAAAGUACACUAAUUGAAGUUUUACACCAUUUUAUGAUUCAUCAAACACAGCAACUGAAUACUGGCAUAUAGCAACAUUACAGAUGUUAGUCUAACAUAAAACUCAUAACACAUUUUAAAAAGGGUAAAAGGAAGGAAAGGAAAAGGGAUACGAGGCUGUAGAAAGAUUUUAAAAACAAACGUCAUAUGUCUGAACCUUUGCCUGGAGUUUCAUAUUUUGUGAAAAGCAGUUUGUAAGUAGAGGACUCGUAAGUGCACCUAGUACACUGCAAUGGCACAGACAUGGCAGAUAGUCAAUAAAAUGAUCUUUAACUUCUGAUCUAGGUUAUUUUUGUUGUUCAUGUAUUAACCUAGUGAAACUCAGCCAAUAGAUGGAGUGGCAUUGACCUGUAAAACUUCCAAGAUCCCAUCCAACCUUAGUGUCCUCUGAAGUUCUCCAUAAUUUAUUGUCCGUUCCAACCAACAUUUAGCAUAAGCUACAGCUUAUAUUGUUAAUAAUCCUUCUAUGUUUAUGUGCUGAUUUGCAAAUAAAUGGGCCUAUAUAGUCUUUAUCUAGUGUUGGAUUGGGAUCAAAAGUUUUAUGAAAUCAUUGUUUUUAGUAUACGUACAGAUGGAUAAUUGUAUAAAUAAGUACAGAUGUGUAUAAAUGUGUGAGUAUACAUACAUAUAUUUUCCAACUCCUCUAACAAAAGGGCCUAGAAACAACAUCAUCCCAGUAACAAUGAGAACACCAUUUUCCAAUUAAAGGAACCAAGGCUCCUUGGGGACAUAUUUGAUAUCAGGAUUGGGCAGGGAAAAUACAAGAUUAGUUUGAAAUAUUUUGUCAUGUUAGAAAGUAAGGAAAUGCUCACAAAAUGGAGAAAAUGUGAAAAGGAAACAGAAUCCACUUUGAAUAAACUUCCAUAGCCAAAUUUGAGAAAAUUGGGGCACUAAAAUAAAUAACAAUAGUAAUAUAUUACAAUCUACAGAAGAAAAUUUUCAAUUAAUCCAGGCUAGGUGCGGUGGCUCAUGCCUGUAUUCCCAGCACUUUGGGAGGCCGAGGUGGGCAGAUCACUUGAGGUCAGGAGUUUGAGACCAGCCUGACCAACGUGGUGAAUCCCUGCCCCUACUAAAAAUACAAAAAUUAGCUGGGCAUGGUGGCACAUGCCUGUAGUCCCAGCUACUCAGGAGGCUGAGGCAGGAGAAUGGCUUGAAUCCCAGAAGGUGGAAGUGCAGUGAGUGGAAAUCCCACCAAUGCAUUCCAGCCUGGAUGACAAAGCAAGACUCCAUCUCAAAAAAAAAAAAAAUUAAUCCAUAUUGACAUAAAUAAUAAACCAAAGGUUGAGAAUGGGCAGUAUUUUAUUACAGUAAGAUUUCAUUAAAUGUAGGAGACAUAAAAUAUAAGAAUCAUCACUUUGCAAAUAUCUUAGUAAUAAUUGUUGCAAGAAAGAACCUUGGAGGGAUGCUAAGAUUAGUGGUGAAUAUAUGUUGGGAAAGAACAUAUUUGCAUAAUAUGAAAGUAUCUUCCCACAAGAUAAUUAUAGAAUAGUAACUUCAAAGUGGAGAUGUCAACUUAGCCAAGUGAUCAAAGUUAACAUUACUAAUAAUAAGAUAAAUGAACUUCAUGUAACUUCUUAUAUGAUGCACUGAAUAGGACAAAACAUCAAUUCUAUGGUAUUCUUAGACAAAAUGUAUAACUUUAGUCCUAAUCGUGAGAAAACAUCAGACUAACUGAAAUUGAGGAGGGACAUUCUACAAAAUAACUGCCAGUAUUCUUCAAAAGCAUUUUAGAAAGACUGAGGAAUUCUCCAGACACAUGGAGACAUGUCAACUAAGUGCAAUGGAGAACAUGCAUUGUAUCAUGAACCAGAGAUGGACAACAGUAGGAUAUAUACAAUAACACCCCAACAUUUGAACAUUAAACAAAAUACUUCAGAAAAACCCAUUGGCCAAGAAAAGUUUCACACACACAAAAAAUAGUUUAAACUGAAAGAAAAAUUUUUAAAAACUUAAUAAAAUGUGGGAUGCAGAUAAAUCAUUUCUUAAAGGUACAUUUAUAGAUGUAAUAUAUUGAAAAUAAAAGGCUUCAAUCAAUGACCUUUAGGUUCUUUUUUAAGAGGCUAAAAAAAUGAGCAAAGUAUAUCCAAAUUAAGAAGAAGGAAGAUGAUAAAGAUAAAAAUGUAAACCAACAACAUAGCAAAUAACAAAAGGUGGAGCUAAUUAAUAUACCCACAAAUUGGUUGUUUGAAAAAAUUUUUUUUAAUAAACAAUGGCUAGCAAGAUUUAUCUCAAAAAAAAUUAGAGAAGCUAUAUAAUGUAGAUAAUGAUAAUUAAAUAGAGGAUGUAACUACAGAACCUACAGACAUCAAUAUAAUUAUGAAAACUUUAGGCCAAUACAUUUGACAAAUAAAAUAACAUGGGAAAUUAUUUGUAAAACUAAUUCUUAAAAAUGAUGCCAAAUGAAAUAGAAAAAGUAAUAGCUUCUGUAUGUAUUGAAGAAUUUUUUUAAUUUAAAAAGAUUGCUAUAAUUACAGGCUGCAUGGUUUCUUAGGUGAAUUCUAUCAAACAUUUAAGAAAGUACAGAGAGUCCUCAACUUAUGGUGGUUUGACUUGUGCUCUUCUGACUUGAUAAUGGUGCUUUCAUCUGUUUACAUUAAUGAUGAGCAUCAACGUGACCAGUUUUUCACUAUCAGUAUAGUUUUCAAUAAAUUUCAUGAGAUACUCAAUAUUUUAAAAUAGGUCUUGUGGUAGAUGAUUUUGACCAAUUGUAGGCUAAUGUAAGUGUUCUGAGCAAGUUUAAGGUAGGCAAGGCUAAGUCAUGAUAUUCAGUAGGUUAAAUAUAUUAAAUGCGUUUUAGACUUACAAUAUUUUCAAUUUAGGAUGAGUUCAUGAAGACAUAAGCCCAUUGUAAGUUGAGGAGUAUCUAUAAUAUCAAUCUUGAACAGACCCUUUUUAAGAAAUAGAAUUUAAGGGCUGGGCACAGUGGCUCACACCUGUAAUCCCAGCACUUUGGGAGGCCAAGACGGGCAGAUCACCUGGGGUCAGGAGUUUGAGACCAACCUGACCAGCAUGGAGAAACCCCCGUCUCUACUAAAAGUACAAAAUUAGCAGGGCAUGGUGGCGCUUGCCUGUAAUCCCAGCUCCUCGGGAGCCAGAGGCAGGAGAAUAGCUUGAAUCUGGGAGGUAGAGGUUGCGGAGAGCCGAAAUUGUGCCAUUGCACUCCAGCCUGGGCAACAAGAGUGAAUCUCUGUCUCAAAAAAAAAAAAAAAAAAAAGAA